GUAGUCUCGCACAGAUGCAUAUCAAUAAGCGGAGGAAAAGAAACUAACAAGGAUUCCCCUAGUAACGGCGAGUGAAGCGGGAAGAGCUCAAAUUUGAAAUCUUAAAGGGUUUCCCUUUACGAAUUGUAGUUUAAAGAAGUGUUUUCUGUUGAGGUUUUGGUAAAAGUUCUUUGGAAUAGGACAUCAUAGAGGGUGAGAAUCCCGUAUUUGACCUUUACUUUCAACUUUGUGAUACACUUUCAAAGAGUCGGAUUGUUUGGGAAUGCAGUCCAAAAUGGGUGGUAAAUUUCAUCUAAAGCUAAAUAUUGGCGAGAGACCGAUAGCGAACAAGUACCGUGAGGGAAAGAUGAAAAGAACUUUGAAAAGAGAGUUAAACAGUACGUGAAAUUGUCAAAAGGGAAGCGUUUGACACCAGUGUUGUUUUUCUGAAAAUCAAUUAAAGAACUGUUUAUGCUAAGUUGUUUAGACUUUAUCAGCUAUCUGUUUAGUUUUGAGCUUCUCUUUAAUGCACUUUUCAGUUAACAAGUCAACAUCAAUUUCUUUUGCUGUAAAAAAGCUUGAGGAAGGUGGCUUGAGAUUCGUCUUAAGUGUUUAUAGCCUCUUGCCUAUGCAGUCGGAGAGAUUGAGGUCUGCAGCGUAGAUCCUUCGGGGCUAAAUGCAUUUGUGCUAAGUUAUAACAUUUUAUAGACAACUUGUUGACUAUGAUUUGUCUUGUAGCUUACUCGCUUAUGUUAUUUUACCUACGCUUAGGAUGUUGAUCUGUAGUGCGUGCGC
rnacentral:rRNA from 1 species